CAGCUCAAAUUUGAAAUCUGGUCCCUAGGGCCCGAGUUGUAAUUUGUAGAGGAUGCUUUUGGUGAGGUGCCGCCCGAGUUCCCUGGAACGGGACGCCACAGAGGGUGAGAGCCCCGUCUGGCUGGCCGCCGAGCCUCUGUAAAGCUCCUUCGACGAGUCGAGUAGUUUGGGAAUGCUGCUCAAAAUGGGAGGUAUAUGUCUUCUAAAGCUAAAUAUUGGCCAGAGACCGAUAGCGCACAAGUAGAGUGAUCGAAAGAUGAAAAGCACCUUGAAAAGAGGGUUAAAUAGUACGUGAAAUUGUUGAAAGGGAAGCGCUUGUGACCAGACUUGGGCGCGGCGGAUCAUCCGGGGUUCUCUCCGGUGCACUUCGCCGCGUCUAGGCCAGCAUCAGUUCGUCGCGGGGGAAAAAGGCUUCGGGAACGUGGCUCCUCCGGGAGUGUUAUAGCCCGUUGCAUAAUACCCUGCGGUGGACUGAGGACCGCGCAUCUGCAAGGAUGCUGGCGUAAUGGUCACCAGCGACCCGUCUUGAA
rnacentral:rRNA from 1 species